AUAGAUUAAGUUAUUAAGGGCGCACGGUGGAUGCCUUGGCACUAGAAGCCGACGAAGGACGUUACUAACGACGAUAUGCUUUGGGUAGCUGUAAGUAAGCGUUAAUCCAGAGAUUUC
rnacentral:rRNA from 1 species